AAUACUUUCAGGUGAGUUGAAGGACGAUUUCGUCACUGAUGUUGCUCUACUGGUUUAUUGCUGUACAGCAUACACUCAAGAAGUAUUUAAUCUUACGGCUUCUCUAAGGUUUCAACAUGAAAAAUUUGGUCUUGAUUUUCAUUUUGAUAGUUAUUUUUUCUGUCAUCAAAGCUGAUAGAAAUGCUCCGUCAAAAAAAGGUAAUAAGCAUGGAAGUGCUUUCAAACAUGAUACAACAAACGAAAAAGUCUUACCAGCAGAAAAGGGAGAUACCCUUGUAAUUCUGGAGGCAGAAGACAAUAAGAAACAGGAAAAUCAAGCUCAGAACGACACACUACAUGAUAUAAGUCAGUGGACCCGUUUUGGCAGUGGAUUCUCUGGAUAAAUAAAAAAUUAUGAUUUAAACAGCAUGAACAAUUUUUAAAGAUUUUGGAAAAUAAGGAGAACGAUUUACUGUUUGUAUACUUUUCAAUUUUUUGACGUUAAAGGGUGAUAUAUUCUCAAUCAUUGCAUUUAGCUUUUAAUAUAUAAAUCACUGCUUUAUAUUAUUCUGAAGUACAGCGAAUAUCUAUAAUAUACACAAAAGUUUUGUGUGUAAUGAUGUAAUUUUUCGUAAUUCUUCUCAUUUAAUAAAUUUAAUAAUUAUUUCCAA